AUUGCUACAGUGAGGGUGUUACAUGUUUAAUAUCAAUUAAACUCAUUAUAUCCUCAUGUCUCAAGGCUGCCAAAAUUUGGUCACCUCACAUAUCUAUUAUUUUCUUAAUUUUUCAUGCAAAAUUAACUCAUUUUAACUUCAAUUCAAAGUUUAAUGAAUGGAGGAAGGAAGAAUAAGCACUAACCUUAAUGACUAAUGCUUGGACUUACUAAAAAUCUCAAUUUCUUUUCACUUCUUGGCAGCCACUAUCUUCCUUAUGGGGUGCGAUUAAUUUUUAAUAAAGAUGUCUUUGGGUUUUAGGGUGAGAAAAUGGAGGGAUUUCAAGCUAAAAAACUUGAAGAUGGUUGGAGCAAGGAUGGCUAUGGUGGACGGCCAAGUGAA
rnacentral:misc_RNA from 1 species